rnacentral:pre_miRNA from 12 species
UGAAGAAAUACAAGAAAAGGAAUUACGAGACUGGUUUUCAUAAUGAUUUGACAGAUUGAUACAUAUUCUGAGAUCAUUGUGAAAGCUAAUUUUGUUCCUUGGUCGUCUUGGAAAACAAUUG